rnacentral:rRNA from 1 species
UACGGAGGGUGCAAGCGUUGUCCGGAUUUAUUGGGUUUAAAGGGUGCGUAGGCGGCCCUGUAAGUCAGUGGUGAAAUACUGCAGCUUAACUGUAGCAUUGCCAUUGAUACUGCAGGGCUUGAGUACAGAUGAGGUAGGCGGAAUUGAUGGUGUAGCGGUGAAAUGCAUAGAUACCAUCAAGAACACCGAUUGCGAAGGCAGCU